rnacentral:rRNA from 1 species
GAUGAACGCUAGCUACAGGCUUAACACAUGCAAGUCGAGGGGCAGCACAGUGUAGCAAUACACGGGUGGCGACCGGCGCACGGGUGCGUAACGCGUAUCCAACCUUCCCGAUACUCUUGGAUAGCCUUCCGAAAGGGAGAUUAAUACAAGAUGGUGUUUCACUUUCGCAUGUUAUUGAAACUAAAGAUUUAUCGGUAUCGGAUGGGGAUGCGUGACAUUAGAUAGUAGGCGGGGUAACGGCCCACCUAGUCUACGAUGUCUAGGGGUUCUGAGAGGAAGGUCCCCCACACUGGUACUGAGACACGGACCAGACUCCUACGGGAGGCAGCAGUGAGGAAUAUUGGUCAAUGGUCGAGAGACUGAACCAGCCAAGUCGCGUGAGGGAAGACUGCCCUAUGGGUUGUAAACCUCUUUAGUCGGGUAGCAAAAAGCGGACGUGUCCGCCAUUGAGCGUACCCGAAGAAUAAGCAUCGGCUAACUCCGUGCCAG